rnacentral:rRNA from 1 species
AUGGUCCACCGUCGCCGUUCCCUUAGCACGCCGCCUGCACUUCCUCUUGGUCGCCGCAAUCGUUGGGUCAUCGGUUCAUCUGUUCGUGCCUGGAUUGUCGCGGUUCAUCUUUACUCAUGUUUCUCUUUGAUGAUGUCCAGGUGCCGCAGUACUGGCAGCGAACCUGAAGGCCCCAAUGCAGGAGGAAGCAGGCGGGUGCUCGGCGACAUCGGCAAUAUCGUCCCUGCCCACGUCCUCGAGGGCAAUAUGCAGCUACCGGCGGGGAUCACUCCAAUCACCAGGAGCUUCAGCGCUGAGCUCUGA